AAUUCGAGACGCGCCGCCGCCGACCCCCGCUCCACUUACCUUUCAUAUCCUUGUCUCGGAAAAAAACUUGCCUUUCAUAUCCGGCAAGGACAAGGCUCCGCCCGCCGCCACCGCCUCCGCCCCGGCUAUAAAGCUCCGCCCUUUGGCCGGCCCGCUCCUCCUCUCUCCGUCCGGGCCGCGCCUCUCGCCUCCUUCAUUCGUCCUCGCCCGUCCGGGCCGCGUGGUGGUCUCCGUGCCCGCUCGCGCCCUGCUCCCUGUCCUCUCCGCCUGCGGGGCCGAGCCGCUCCCCGAGGACGCGGGCGGGCGACCGGCGGCGGGGGCACCGGCGUCGUGCGCCAGCUGCGCGCGCUCGUCCUCGACUCGUGCCUCUCCUCCUCUCGCGUCCGGUGAGGUGACUCGUCCUCGGUUCUUGCCUCUCCUCGUCUCGCGUCUGGCGAGGCAAUUCGUCCUUGAUUCCUGCCUCUCAUAGUCUCGCUUCUGAUCCUAUGUUGCUCGUCCUCGCUCGAUUCGUCCGUUUAGAGUUGAAGAAUCGCGUCUGAUUUGUUUCAUUCAGUUUUGAUCGUCCUCGGUUCGUCUGUUUUCAAGAAGCGCGUCUGAUUUGAUUGGUUAUGCUCGUCCACGAUUCGACCGUUUAGGUAGAAACCGUGUCUGGUUUGAUUUGCUCGUCCUCGCCGCCGUCGUCAGUUCAGAGUCGCGUGUGAUUUGAUCCUUGCUCGUCCUCGCCGUUGCCUUGAUGCUCUCGCGUGUUCUUGGGGCCAUCUUGUUGGGGGUCUGCGACUCUGGGAGGAAGCGAGCGGUCGGUCGGUUUGGGUCACCGUCUUGUUUGCGAACUAACAAGUCCGUUUGAGAAACUUCUGUUCCUGCGUUUCGUGUUCGCGGUAGAGCUAUGGUUCCUGCGUUUCUUGUUUGAGAAACUUGUGCGUGCGCUUCUGUUAUCUGACGAUCCUGCGUUUCGUGUUGGCGUCGGGGCGACGGUUGCAGGAACGAUCGGUUCUAGUUUCGAAAUUGGAGCAGUGUCAAAUCGGUUCCUCAGUUCCAUCACUUGUUGUUUGUUGGUCUCAAACUCAUGCGCCCUUGUGAUACUCUGGUUGCCCUCUGUCGAUUCUUGUUCUACCGGCAGGCGUGUGUGCUCUCAUCCUAGAUGCAGAGAAUCCUGUUCUUGUAUGUUACGGUUGUUCUAAUGGUGUUCUUUUUAACCGGUUUCUUGUUAUCAUGCUUUGCUUAUGUUCCCAUAUGGCACAAUUGAUUCAUUGUUGUUUGUUGUUUGAUUGAUUGCCCUGAGAUGGAUUGCUGUUUGUUGUUUGACUGAUUGCCUUGAGAUGGAUUGUUGCUUGUUGCUUGAUUGAUUGAUUGCCUUGAGAUGGAUUGUUGAUUGUUGUUUGUUGCUGUUUGUUGCCUUGAGAUGGUAGAUGUUUAUAUGGCAUGAUUGAUUCCUGUUUGUUCAUGGUUAUUACAAUUGAUUGAUUGAUUGAUGGCUGUUUGUCGAUUGGUAUCUAACUUUGGUAUUGCCAGUUCCUGAUCAUAUGCAACAGACCUAGCACUAUUCUUUUUUCUGAACUUUUUUGUGAUUAUGUCUUAUGUGGAUAUCAUAUUCUUUUUUUGGUAUUACUGUUGUCUAGUCCUUGGAAUAAUGCUUUUCUAAGUAUUUAAGGUACACACAUGUUGAUCUGGACAUAUCACAUUUGCUCUUUAUUGUGUUGCUAAGGACACUGAUGGGUUGAAUUGGCAUAUACGCAGCCGUGGAUCGCUCGUCAACCUGCUGAGCUCUUUCUGGAUAUGACAGAGGUACAAUAUUUACAUCCAUGGCAGAAGGUUCUUAACCCUGAACUCAUCAAAGGUCCUUGGACUCAAGAGGAAGAUGACAAAAUUAUUGAUCUUGUAAGCAAGUAUGGACCAACAAAAUGGUCUCAUUGCAAGGGCCUGCAGAAGGACCCUCCCACCUCAGUGCAGGUGAUUUUUCCUCUGCCCCGUUUGAUUCCGUCUAGAUCUUGCCCCGAAUUGUAUUGCGUCUGGAUGAGCGCGCCGUUGGCGUGGUCUGGUUGUUAACUGUUGUUACGGGUCAUGGGGGUUAGGUUGUCGAUUAUUUAGCUGUGCUCUCGCAGUGCUUUUAGGUUUGCUGGAUUGAUUGGUGAGGAUACUGCUUAUGAACUGUACAUGGACUACUAUUAUGAUUGACUCAUGUCAAGUGUGUGAUGUAUCUUCUGAGCAGGUCAUUAAAAAAACCCUUGGAUUUUGUUUUGUUAGGUUAUAAAGUAUGCCAACCUUAUUACAGUUUACAGUCAGUACCACAUGGGCAGAACAUGCACCACCCUGUAGCACUAUAUGAUAUCUUAACUGCCAUAACCAAAAGAAAUUAAAACCGCCAAGGACUUCACAGUUUAUGGAUAGUUAGGCAUGGCUAGCACUAUAUAAGAAACAUAAACAGUACCAAUCUAAUCUGUUAGGCAUGGACUAGACUAUUUAAGAAACAUAAACAGUACCAACGAAAUCAAUAGGGAGAAUUUUUGAGAGUGAACUAUGUUUUAGGAGGUGAGGUGGCAAUGGUCACCUGUAUUCCUUAGUCUAUUAACGCAUACCGGAAUAAAUAUAAUUACUGAAGCAACUUUAUCUUUGGUAAUGUUGUUUAAAUCUGAUUUGAGAAACACGAACAGUACUAGCCUGAUCAAUAGAGAGAAUUGUCAAAAGUGGCCUCUGUUUUAGUAGGUUGCAAUGAUCACCUGCUUUCCUUGGUUUAUCAAUGCAUACUGGAAGAAAUAUAAUUACGGAAGCAACUUUAGCAUUGUAAAUGUUGCGUAAAUCUGAUUUGAGAAACAAGAACAGUACCAUCCUAACCAAUAGAGGGAAUCAUCAAGAGUAGCUUAUGUUUUAGUAGGUGAGGUUGUAAUGGUCACCUGUUUUCCUUGGUCUAUCAAUGCAUACAGGAAGAAAUAUAACUACUGAAGCAACUUUAGCAUUCAUAAUGUGUGUAAACCUGAUCUGUGUUUUUGUGGAGAGUAAGUGGCUUCAGUGGAUGUCUUGGGCUCCUGGGUGACUUGAUGUUUUUUAAUACAGCAGUUGGUUCCACUUACCUCUUGAAAUUAAGAUCAAUGAACUUUGAAUUAUUCUAAUCAUUGUAGUGGGCGUGUAUAUGAUGGAUAACCCUUGAUAAUAUAAUUUCAUGCCUAAUUCUGAACUUGCUCACACAUAACUAAAGCUGGCCGCUGUUUGAUCUCGUAGCAAAUAUGACUUGUUUCUUACUCAUACUUGACUAGCUUCAUACAAAUGCUUGUCUGACUGUUGUGUAAUACUGUAUCACUUUCCUUUU